UCGUCGAAGACAUGGACCAGGCCGACGCCGUA
rnacentral:scRNA from 1 species